rnacentral:rRNA from 1 species
UACGAACUGUGCGAACGUUAUUCGGAAUCACUGGGCUUACAGGGUGCGUAGGCGGCUUGCUAAGUAGGGUGUGAAAGCCCCCGGCUUAACCGGGGAAUGGCGCCCUAAACUGGCGAGCUGGAGUGAGAUAGGGGUGUGCGGAACUUCCGGUGGAGCGGUGAAAUGUGUUGAUAUCGGAAGGAACGCCGGUGGCGAAAGCGGCACACUGGAUCUCAACUGACGCUGAGGCACGAAAGCCAGGGGAGCGAACGGG